rnacentral:rRNA from 1 species
AGCACGGGAGCUUGCUCCUGGUGGCGAGUGGCGAACGGGUGAGUAAUACAUCGGAACGUACCCUGAAGUGGGGGAUAACGUAGCGAAAGUUACGCUAAUACCGCAUAUUCUGUGAGCAGGAAAGAGGGGGAUCGCAAGACCUCUUGCUUUAGGAGCGGCCGAUGUCGGAUUAGCUAGUUGGUGAGGUAAAGGCUCACCAAGGCGACGAUCCGUAGCGGGUCUGAGAGGAUGAUCCGCCACACUGGGACUGAGACACGGCCCAGACUCCUACGGGAGGCAGCAGUGGGGAAUUUUGGACAAUGGGCGCAAGCCUGAUCCAGCCAUGCCGCGUGAGUGAAGAAGGCCUUCGGGUUGUAAAGCUCUUUCGGUGGGGAAGAAAUUGCACAGGAUAAUACCUUGUGUAGAUGACGGUACCCGCAUAAGAAGCACCGGCUAACUACGUG